GCGCAUUUGAGUGCGUGGCUACGAACCACGAGGUCGGGAGUUCGAAUCUCUCCGGGCGCGCCA
rnacentral:tRNA from 1 species